rnacentral:pre_miRNA from 1 species
AGAGGGGUAGCUGGGUCAAAUGGUGGUUCUAAUUUCCAGAUUUCCAAGGAAUCUCCAUACUGCUUUCCAUAUUGGCUGUACCAAUUUGCAGUCCCACCAGCAGU